rnacentral:piRNA from 1 species
UAUCUAAGAUUACAAACCUCUUAAGAUGGG